UAGGGAAUAUUAGUAAUGGGCGAAAGCCUGAACUAGCAACGCCGCGUGUGCGAAGAAGGCCUUCGGGUUGUAAAGCACUUUUUGAGAGGAUGAGGAAGGACGGUACUCUCAGAAUAAGUCUCGGCUAACUACGUGGCAGCAGCCGCGGUAACACGUAGGAGGCGAACGUUAUCCGGAUUUACUGGGCGUAAAGCGCGUGUAGGUGGUUUGGUAAGUAGGGCGUGAAAGCUCCUGGCUCAACUGGGAGAGGCCGUUCUAAACUGCCGAACUAGAGGAUGGUAGAGGGAGGUGGAAUUCCGGGUGUAGCGGUGGAAUGCGCAGAUAUCCGGAGGAACACCAGUGGCGAAAGCGGCCUCCUGGACCACUCCUGACACUCAGACGCGAAAGCUAGGGUAGCAAACG
rnacentral:rRNA from 1 species